UGCGUUGGAAACAUAAAUUAUAACUAUCACUCUUUAAACUUUGUCUCAUCAAGUACAUUUUGAGAUAAAACAUCUAGUCUUAUGUAGACGAACUCGCCUGGUAUACCAAUUCGUUAGCCGGGUAUCGUUGAUGAUUUUUUUUAAAUUUUCAAUGAAUUCCUUUAAAUAACAUUUACGUUUGUGGUAUCCUAGUAUGUUGUCAUACAUUCAUGAGAGAUGUUCGUUGUUAUUUUGCAGUUUACGUGUUGUAAUGUAUUGUUAUAUUUUUUUUUUUUUUAUUUGUAGUGUUGUCAAUUUAGCGGUAUUUUAAGCCUAUUAAGCGGGAGGUUUGGGUAGCCAUAAAGCCAGGUCAACCACCAUUUUUUUUCUUAAUGUGCCUGUACUAAGUCGGGAAUCUAGAUGUCUUAUCUACAGUCAGUUUCUAUUUAUGUUGGCGUUUGCUUUUGUUGUAGUUCAGUGUUUCUAUUGUUCCGCUGAUGUCCUCUUACAGUUGGUGUGUUUCCCUCGGUUUUAUUGUAUUACCCGGAUAUAUUUUUGUUUAAUCGAAUUGUUACUAUUGAACAGCGGUUAAUACUGUUGUCUUUAUUUAUAUAUACAUAUAUCUAAUCAAAUAAAAAAAAAUUUUAAACACGUACAUUCAUUAUCAAUUGAUCCAACAAAAAAAAAUAGACAUGCUGACAUAACAUAUGACAAUAGAAAUAAAUAGAUUGAGAAAUGAGAAUCAAAUUAUGAUAGAAUCUUAAGUUUCAUAAUCCCACUUGUGAUUUUUGCAUUAUUGCUUUUUCUACCUGCUCGACGAAAC
rnacentral:lncRNA from 1 species